UUGCCAACCGUCCCUUGAAAAACGGAAUCGUCCCGUAUUUAGAAACACAAGUGCACGUCCCGUAUUGAACUCAAAAGGGACGCACUUUGUCCCGUAAUAUAGUAUGGAUCAAAAUUAGUCUGUAGUCUAUUACCGGAAUUAACGCUUUGUUUGAAAGCCAGCCCUUCGCCUGCUCUGUGACCAAUGAACUGGCCGCAUGCUUACACACGAAUAUGAUGAUACAGAUUACCGCUUAUUUCAUUGGUCGAGGAACGGUCGCUUGGGGAGAAGAUACCGGAAGAAAACAGACGACAGCAAACAGCACGGCCAACCGGGAAACUAACGCCGACACUGCUGUACAAGUCUCGGACGACAGUACCCCUCCGAGAAAGAAGAAAAAAGGCUUCAAAAAUACAGGGAGGAAUGGGAAAAGGAAAAUUCCUGGCUGGAAAAACUGCGCGAGAACACCUAUAAAGCGCACUGCACCGUGUACCGGCGCAGUUUUUCCAAAGGGCAUGGUGGACUCACUGACCUCAAGCAACAUGCUUCUAGUAGUAGCCACAUGAAAAACAUAAAGGACGUGAAAUUACGGGGAACCCUCGAUCAGUUUGUCGUCCACAAGGCCACGGCAGAAGCAGAUAUGGUUAAACAUCUCUAUGGAUGAGCUUUAUGACGAGUGUGUCACUGCAACCAGCCUUCUGGAGCCCCUCACCAAAGGACCUCAGGAGAAGGAAAAGUGGCAGUCCAAGGGAACAGCAGAGAAGUGUAUAGAAAUUCUUCAGGCAGCUGACCUCUCCAACAUCCAGCCUGUUGUAUCGUUUGUACUCAGCAUCCCAUCUUCCACUGGAUUGGCAGAGAGGAUUUUCUCUCUCAUGAAGAAUAAGUGGACUGAUGUGCGGAACAAAUGUUCUACUGAAAUAAUUAGAUGUGAGCUCAUUGUCACUCUAAAUUGUGACAUGUUUUGCUCAGAGUUUUACUCUGCAGUACUGAAAGACAACUCCUAAAUGCAGCAAGAUCUCAAAAGAAAUACAAAUGGAGAAAAUAGUCUGUUUUCACAUAAUGUAGCAUUGAGCUUUUGAGUUCAUGAGUUUGGACUUUUUUUU